rnacentral:pre_miRNA from 1 species
UAAUGAUGAUGAUGAUGAUGAUGAUGAUGAUGAUGAUGAUGAAGACGAUGACGCAGGGGACAACGAGGAUGAUAAUGACGAUGAGGAGGAUCAUUAUUAUCGUUAUCAUCAUCACUAUCAUCAUUCUCG